rnacentral:rRNA from 1 species
CCUACGGGAGGCAGCAGUGGGGAAUUUUGGACAAUGGGGGCAACCCUGAUCCAGCAAUGCCGCGUGAGUGAAGAAGGCCUUCGGGUUGUAAAGCUCUUUCAGUUGAGAAGAAAAGAUUGUGACUAAUAAUUGCAAUUCAUGACGGUAUCAACAGAAGAAGCACCGGCUAACUACGUGCCAGCAGCCGCGGUAAU